GCGGACGUGGCGAAAUUGGCAGACGCGCAGGUUUCAGGUUCCUGUGGGAGACCAUGGGGGUUCAAGUCCCUUCGUCCGCACCA
rnacentral:tRNA from 5 species